UUGAGACAGAGUCUCACUCUGUUGCCCAGGCUGGAGUGCAGUGGCAUGAUCUCAGCUCACUGCAACCUCCGCUUCCCAGUUCAAGUGGUUCUCCUCCUUCAGCCUCCCGAGUAGCUGGGAUUACAGGAGUUUGAGACCAGCCUGACCAACAUGGCAAAACCCCAUCUCUACUAAAAUACAAAAAUUAGCUGGGCAUGAUGGUGCACUCCUGUAAUCCCAGCUACUUGGUAGGCUGAAGCAUGAGAAUUGCUUAAACCUGGGAGGCAGAGGUUGCAGUAAGCCAAGAUCAUGCCACUGCACUCCAGCCUGGGCAACAGAGUAAGACUCUGUCUUAAUAAAUAAAUAAGAAAAUAAAACGGAACUGCAGUGCUAACAGUAAUUUAUACAUUUUUAAAUGUUCUGAGUAUGUUUUGACUGGGCUAGUGUAACAAUAUACUACCCUGAAAGUGCAGUUUUGAUUGUUGUUGGUGUCUUUGGGUCAGGAAAGUGAACUGUGCCAAGAAGUAUUUUUCAGUGACAUGAAUGGAUUCCUGUUAAUGCAAUUGACUGAGAGAUUGUGCUUACGCUUUCUUAACUGACAAAAAGAGGCUUUGUCCAACAUCAGAAUUGUUGAAACUGGUGCUGUUUUCUGUUGCACUGGGAUUCUGAUGAUCUGGGAUUUUCCCUCCUUGGCACAGUAAACACCAUGACUGUCUUUAUUGAGAAUGUCGUCACAGUCCUUUAGUGAUAGAUUAGUUAGACCCAUGGUUGCAAUACCUUUAUCUCCCCAAAGAAAAUAAUCAAAAGAAAGCACAAAAGCUACCCUGUUUGCAGAAUAUUUCACUGACAUUGAUUUGUCAUUAAUUCUACCAGAGCUGACCUCAUUCAGGCUUGAUAGAAACAGGUUCCUAUGUUUAGGGCAGAUCCCUAGCCUCUCGCUCACAGUGAGUCUGCAUGUCCUAGAUUCUGGUUAUUGCUGGAGCAUCCAUUAAAGUCUACCAAACUCAGGACAGAAGAAGAUAGCAGUGGAUUUGUAAAAAUUUUUAGUUUAU
rnacentral:lncRNA from 1 species